rnacentral:pre_miRNA from 1 species
AGAGGGAUAGCUGGGUCAAAUGGUGGUUCCAUUCCCAGCUUUUGAAGAAAUCUCCAUACUGCUUUCCAAAUUGACCACACUAGUUUGCAGUCCCACCAGUAAU